rnacentral:rRNA from 1 species
UGGGGAAUACUGCGCAAUGGGCGAAAGCCUGACGCAGCGACGCCGCGUGAGGGAUGAAGGUUUUCGUAUCGUAAACCUCUGUCAGAAGGGAAGAAACUACAUUGUUCUAAUCAGCAGUGUACUGACUGUACCUUCAAAGGAAGCACCGGCUAACUCCGUGCCUGCAGCCGCGGUAAUACGGAGGGUGCAAUCGUUAAUCGGAAUUACUGGGCGUAAAGCGCACGUAGGCUGUAGUGUAAGUCAGGGGUGAAAUCCCACGGCUCAACCGUGGAACUGCCUUUGAUACUGCACAACGUGAAUCCGGGAGAGGGUGGCGGAAUUACAGGUGUAGGAGUGAAAUCCGUAGAUAUCUGGAGGAACAUCAGUGGCGAAGGCGGCCACCUGGACCGGUAUUGACGCUGAGGUGCGAAAGCGUGGGGAGCAAACAG